ensembl:snoRNA LOC120101375 small nucleolar RNA U89
GGGAUUUAGCUCAGUGGUAGAGCGCUUACCUAGGAAGCGCAAGGCCCUGGGUUCGGUCCCCAGCUCCGAAAAAAAGAACCAAAAAAAAAAAAAAAAAAAAAAGAAAGAAAGAAAUCUGACUCCCUGCUGUAAGGCCAGAUCAAUAGCACGGCUGGCCUCACCUCUGUCAGCUGCCACCAUAGCACUGGCAGCAUCCUGUAGGGAGGCCCACAGGAGU